rnacentral:misc_RNA from 1 species
GAUGAAGAACGCAGCGAAAUGCGAUAAGUAAUGUGAAUUGCAGAAUUCAGUGAAUCAUCGAGUCUUUGAACGCACAUUGCGCCCCCUGGUAUUCCGGGGGGCAUGCCUGUCCGAGCGUCAUUGCUGCCCUCAAGCACGGCUUGUGUGUUGGGCCCCGUCCUCCGAUCCCGGGGGACGGGCCCGAAAGGCAGCGGCGGCACCGCGUCCGGUCCUCGAGCGUAUGGGGCUUUGUCACCCGCUCUGUAGGCCCGGCCGGCGCUUGCCGAUCAACCCAAAUUUUUAUCCAGGUUGACCUCGGAUCAGGUAGGGAUACCCGCUGAGCUUAAGCAUAUCAAUAAGCGGAGGA